rnacentral:tRNA from 1 species
AUAAAUAUAGUUUAACAAAAACGUCAGAUUGUGAUUCUGAAAAUAGGAGAUAAAAACUCCUUCUUUAUCGAGAGAGAUAAGCCUUAAUCUGAGAGACUG